GCUGCACUUUUGAGAUGCAACAAUACCAUGUCUGAGAAAUGAUAAGGAUACUUUUUUAAAAUAAGACUCUCUGUAGACUCUUAAGUUAAUGUUUAAUUUAAUUUUCGUGCUAAUAUUAUAAAAUAUUGUAAAAAUAUAAGAUGAGUUGUUAACUUGAUUUUCAUGCCAAUAUUAUAAAACAUCGUAAAAAUAUAAAGUGAAUCGUUAACUUAAUUUUCAUGCCAAUAUUAUGAAACAUCGUAAAAAUACGAGGUGUUGAUGCACAAAAUCAGUGAGGAUUUUGUUACAAUAGAAAGUGUCAAGUUUGUGACCUUCGCUAGAUUGCUCCGGUCACUAGUGUGGAUAAGUAUGUAAAUGGAUAGAGACAGAGAAGCAAGCAACACAAUAUGUACAUGGUUCACCCAGAUUGGCUACGUCCACAGAGUAAGGGAGUUCUAAUUAAUUGUGAAAGGUUUACAAAAGUACAUAGGUUCAAGCUCUCCUUUAGUGAGUACUAGUGAAUGAUUUAGUACAAAUGAUAUUAGAGAUUAUUGUGGGAGAAUGAUCUCCUUUUAUAGAAGAGAGUUUCUAGCUUUGUUCUGGCCUUGACAUGUGUCAUGCUGUGAUUCGUCUUUGAUGUUGACACAUGUCGCCCUAUGAUUGGCCUCUUGGUGUUGACACUUGUUGCGCUGUGAUUGGCCUCCUGGUUGGAGGAAAACUCUUAUAGGUCCUUGACGGUAUAACGUUGACCGAUGUUUGUUAGUUUCGGGAUUUGUCAAGUAUGGUACGAACACGAGGUGAGCCUUGUUAUCAUAUCUCUCAACAAAAUAGUCUUACUCAUUGCAAAAAAUUAACAAAGGAUGACAAAGAUUGUAGAUUGAUGCUGCUUUAUUGUGACCGUUCGUAUACCCCAAACUCUAUGUAUAACUCGUACGACUGCUCCUCCCGUAAAACCCCACCGGUUCCUUCAUUGGUUCCAAUGUUAUUUGAUGUAUAAAAAUUUAAAAAUUAAGAUACUUGGAAAGUAAUAUAUUAAGAAUUAUCUUAAAAUACUGUACAAAAUUACAGAUGGUUUAUGACUUGCAUUGCAUUUCUACUUCGUUGACGAACAAUUUAAAUAAAUUUCUUUGCCAAACUCAGUUUUAAGCCUAGCUAUCUCUGGCGGUUUCUGACCAUUAUAGACUCCCCAAAAAUAAUUUAAAUAAUUGAUGGAACAAACUAUAUUCUUUUACCCAUAGAAAUUGACCUAGCUUCAAACCC
rnacentral:lncRNA from 1 species